ensembl:lncRNA
AACGCGCCGCACCCCAACUAUAACUCAAGGAACUCCACCAAACCCAUUGGUAGUUACUCACGCCUUCCAACUGCUGUUAUACGGUAGUUGUGUGCGGUGGGAGGAGUACACCACCUUACUGAUAUAAUCUAUUGGUUGAGUGCGAUGCCAGUAGACCUAUGAUUUGCAUAACCAGGUCAGGUUGCAGAGACAGGGGAGUGGGCUGGGUUGGAAUAUAGCAAGUGAGCUGCUGAACUUCUACACUGAUGUCCACAACCAAUAUCGUAAUGCUACUUUGUUGAGAUACUUUGUUUCUUUUAGUAGAAAAUAGGUAUGAUGUUUCAUUGACACUGACCGAGCGUGCCUCACUGUUUAGGAUUUUUUUCUUCAAUCAAAUUGUUUUUUAAAUGGAACACUGAUUGGUAAGUGACUGAAGGCACAUCAUUUGGAAUAUGAAGUAUUAUCCUGAAAUGAUGAGUUGUCUGUAAUUAUUUCGAUGGAUUUCAUCCUUGCUAUUUAUACGUUACAUGUGUCUGUACAUAGUUAAAUAAGUCAGUUUGCAUAGGGCCUUUUUACAGAUCUGUUCAUACUUAAAAUAGUAUCAAAGGCUUUUGUUAUUUUGCAUUCAUAUGCUUGUUUUCCAGAUGGAAAAAAAUCUAAAGGAAAUGUGUCAAUGGUUUGCUUUAAAAUGAAACGUAGCCUAUGCAUUAGGCUUGUUCUAAAGUUAUUAUCUGUUACAGGAGGCCCAGAAUGUCGCCUUCCUAUAGCUAAACCCAGCAGCCUAUUUUGAAAAUCACGUGGGCUUUCAUGAUCACGUAUUUGAAUUCAAAAGUUAUUUUUGUACAAGCAGUGAUUUUAUUAUGCUAUGAAUUGGCCAUCGAAAAGAUUGGACUCUGAUGGUAAUCGAUUCCGUGUCAUCAACGUUAUUUAUUUGAACUGCCUUUGUAGUUGUGCUUUUGUGCUCGUUGAAUAUCUGAAAGCAGGUAAGCCACUGACUAAUGCACAUUGCGCCAAUACCCAAUUCCACUGUGCGUGUGACAGCGGCUAACCAGCUUUUGGGGGGUCGCUCCGAGCUUCUGACGCGGCGGGAACGCACUGUACAGAGAGGAGAAGGUCCCGAGUGAGACGUGCCGAAUUCAUUGCGCUGUGUCAGUGUCUUAGUAAAGGCCAUUCAUUUGGGGAGUCGUAUCCCUGUUGUAAUUGGUCGUUGUCUGUUCACUCAGAAGCUUUGUGCCUUUAUUGAUUAGAAUGUGGUGACUGAAUUCUGUUUAAUUCAUUUUAUGACGGCUGUUGAUUUAAUGCAUUGGUUUGAUUUCAUGGAUAAGUUGGUGCAAAUUAAACAUACACAAAAAUGAAUAUUUCCUCUGUGUUUGCCUUAUGUAUAACAGCACACAUAACUAGGCCAUAUAUGGCCGCAUGUGUAACAAGUUCAGUCAGGACAUUCUGGCAUGACAAUGACAUGGUCAGUGGUCUUAGUCACAGAAUAGCCUAUAUGUAGUCAAUUAAAAACAGGAAAUGACUUAUUCAGUAAAGACAUACAUGAGUAGUUCUGAGGUCAUAAGAGUUGUAAUAAGAGGUCAUUAAAAUAUGAGGUGUAAUACAUUCAUGUUUCAUAUGUACUCUCUGUAACCUUAUAGUUGCCAGUUGAAAGGUGUGGGUACAUUACCUGUAUUCCAGGUGAAGUCAGAUACACUGAAGAACAUUCCCUCCGCGACUAUAUAACAACCAAGCUAUAACAGUGGUCUAGAGACCAUUUACAUUUAUGGUGUGCCACUGUGGAUUGUGUCAGGAACCUCAGUGUAGGCUCUGAGAGGGCAAUGAGGGCUUGCUUGAUAAAGUGAUGCUUGUCAAUGUCAGUGAUCCACAAAGAAGAAUGUAACGAAGCCUGGAGACAGGCCUGAUCGGAUUAAGAUGCCUCUGUACCAGAGUCCGACUGUUUACCUGCAUAAGUCACAUAUUAGAGUAAUAUAGCGUUCGGAUACAUUUAUAUCCUCUGUAUUUAUAACUUGGAACAGCGAUAGAGAGAGAACAGUCACAUGGCCCAGGACUUCCUGUUAAUGUACCUCACCCAUAAGUCCAUGUGUGUGGGGUGUGUUUGCUUGGAGUACGUGUGAAUCUGCACAGCCAUAUGCGAGUGUGUGAGCGCAUGUGUGUAAGCGAGUGUUGCCUUAUCACCACUCCAGACGUUUCCCAGACAGGCCAGAUCACUCUCCUGAACUGCAGGGAUUUGUGGCUUAUCUGACCAUAGCCACGCCAGUCCAGGGCUGAUCUUAUCACUGUAAUCCAAUUUGACACAAUUAAUCUUAAUAUCAAAACUGCCCAGCCCUUUUAAACAGCUCAGCUGCGUGCAUCAGUUUGCCUUCAGAUUAACACUAAACUACAUUGCAGGUUAUUCUUCAGGUAUAUUUCAAUGGGCACACCAACCCUUAAUGUCCUUGAGUAACUUAUUUUGUAAUUCUACUAGUUAGAAGUUAGAAGUUCUCCCUCCCCUCAUGAAAAUCUUAAAAGUGGUCUCAUAAGUAAGGUGUAUUGUCAUCAAACAGAAUGCCACACUGGAGUUGGGGGCUACCAAUCCCAUUUGGCCUGCUUCUUUCAUAAAUGUUAAACGGGGUCAGAGGGCAACAUGCUGCUAAGCAUACUUUCAGCUCUGCCUACAUGCAGACCUCCAUGUGUGUUAAUGGACCGGCUGCCUUGGAUCAUCAACGUGCUCUCUCACACACACACACACACACACGCACAC